AGAGUUUGAUCCUGGCUCAGAUUGAACGCUGGCGGCAUGCCUUACACAUGCAAGUCGAACGGCAGCACGGGAGCAAUCCUGGUGGCGAGUGGCGAACGGGUGAGUAAUAUAUCGGAACGUGCCCAGUCGUGGGGGAUAACGCAGCGAAAGCUGUGCUAAUACCGCAUACGAUCUCUGGAUGAAGGCGGGGGACUCGCAAGGGCCUCGCGCGAUUGGAGCGGCCGAUAUCAGAUUAGCUAGUUGGUGGGGUAAAAGCCCACCAAGGCGACGAUCUGUAGCUGGUCUGAGAGGACGACCAGCCACACUGGAACUGAGACACGGUCCAGACUCCUACGGGAGGCAGCAGUGGGGAAUUUUGGACAAUGGGCGCAAGCCUGAUCCAGCAAUGCCGCGUGCAGGAUGAAGGCCUUCGGGUUGUAAACUGCUUUUGUACGGAACGAAACGGCGAGCUCUA
rnacentral:rRNA from 1 species